AUUGAACGCUGGCGGCAUGCUUUACACAUGCAAGUCGAACGGUAACAGGCCGCAAGGUGCUGACGAGUGGCGAACGGGUGAGUAAUGCAUCGGAACGUGCCCAGUCGUGGGGGAUAACUACUCGAAAGAGUAGCUAAUACCCCAUACGAUCUAUGGAUGAAAGCGGGGGACCGUAAGGCCUCGCGCGAUUGGAGCGGCCGGUGUCAGAUUAGGUAGUUGGUGGGGUACAGGCUCACCAAGCCAACGAUCUGUAGCUGGUCUGAGAGGACGACCAGCCACACUGGGACUGAGACACGGCCCAGACUCCUACGGGAGGCAGCAGUGGGGAAUUUUGGACAAUGGGCGCAAGCCUGAUCCAGCAAUGCCGCGUGCAGGAAGAAGGCCUUCGGGUUGUAAACUGCUUUUGUACGGAACGAAACGGCUCUGGUUAAUACCCGGGGCUAAUGACGGUACCGUAAGAAUAAGCACCGGCUAACUACGUG
rnacentral:rRNA from 1 species